GUGUUUUUAAGCUAAAUUCUGAACCCAAAUUUUGUAUAAACUACAAGUGGCAAACUGUAAUUAUUCAAAGUGAUCAUCGAAAACUUGUUGCCAUUUAAAAUUUUAAAGGCAAAUGUCGAUACAAAGCCUAUUUAAGUGCAAAGUAUCUCUUACUAUUCAAUAAAAACGCUAACAGCUCAGAAAUUAUGACCCACGAUGGAUUCCAAUAUUUCAAAGCACGAGUCUAUUUCCCUUUUAGGCUCCAGGGCAAGAACGAAACCAAUCCUUUUAAAGGCAGUUCUUUUCUAAUCAUUUCUGCAUAUUUUCCGACUGCAAUUCUUCGUUAAUUCAGAGGUGUGUCCCGGUGAAACCUUCGGGGUGUUAAGCAACACAGAUGUAACAGAAACUCUGCGCACGGACAACUUGGCCAGGCGUGCCGCCCGCCUCUCCUUCCUACCCCCGCCCAAUGCCUUCCCCGGGCAGUGACUUCACAUCCUUUGACAUCAGCACGGCUCUGAAAGGGGGAUGGGAGAGCGAGCAGAAAGCAGAAAAACCAGCUUUGAACUAUGCAUGCAAGGCCUCUCUCAAGACUCAAAUUCUACAAAAUUACUUUAACACGCACACAGAGGCGCUAAUAUUUUGGAACGGCCAAGAAAGAUGCACCAAACAAGGCCAGUGAGGGGCACGCCCUGACCAGUGUGAAAUUCUGGAUAUGUGGGUGUGCUCCUUCCGGGCACAGUUGCGGAAGGCGCUGGAAUACACCUGUAGAGAUGACAAGCUUCCUGCUCCAAGUCCAUAUACGAUGAAAAUUAACUGUAGAAGACUCACUGCUAUGAAUUUAAGGCUCCAGAUUCAGUGUGCUCAUCUCCAGACUGCUCCGUGACAGCUAGCCUGUCCCACGACGUGCAGCUGACACGCGAGGUGAGGAGCGUUGCAAACACUCAGGCAGAGGCGGUGGAUGAGUGUGAGGGCGCACGCAGCAGAG